rnacentral:ncRNA from 1 species
GAGUCCAUAUUGACGAAAAGGUUUGGCACCUCGAUGUCGGCUUAUCGCAUCCUGAAGCAGUAGUAUGUUUUAAGGGUAAGUCUGUUCGCCUAUUAAAGCGAUACGUGAGCUGGGUUCAGAACGUCGUGAGACAGUUCGGUCCAUAUCUAAUAUAAGUGUUAGAAUAUUGAAAUUAUUUUUUUUAGUACGAGAGGAUCAAAAAAAUUAUACCACUAAUAUAUCAAUUAUUAUUUGUUGUAAUGUUGAGUAGUUAAGUAUAAAAUUUUAAUUGUUGAAAGAAUAUAAAUAAGAAAAUUUAAUUAAAAAUAAUAUUCUAAUCAAUUUAAAGAAUAAAACAAUAAUUAGAAAAAUUAUUUUAUAGGUUUAAUAUAUAUUUAUAGUAAUAUAUUUAGUAUAUAAUUCCUAAUAAGUUGAAUAUUUAAUUAU